CAAUUACCCACUCUUAGCACGAGGAGGUAGUGACGAAAAAUAACAAUACGGGACUCUUUCGAGGCCUCGUAAUUGGAAUGAGUACACUCUAAACCCGUUAACGAGGAUCUAUUGGAGGGCAAGUCUGGUGCCAGCAGCCGCGGUAAUUCCAGCUCCAAUAGCGUAUAUUAAAGUUGUUGCGUUUAAAAAGCUCGUAGUCGGCUAUCGGGCGGCGGCCAAUGGUUCGGUUCCGUGCCGAUACUGCUGGUCGCGGCCUCCUCGCCGGUCGUCUUUCGGUGCCCUUAACUGAGUGCCUUAAGUAGCCGGGGCGUUUACUUUGAAAAAAUUAGAGUGUUCAAGGCAGGCGUUUAGCCUGAAUCAUUGAGCAUGGAAUAAUGGAAUAGGACCUCGGUUCUAUUUUGUUGGUCUUCGGAACUAGAGGUAAUGAUUAAUAGGAACAGGCGGGGGCAUUCGUAUUGCGGCGUUAGAGGUGAAAUUCUUGGAUCGUCGCAAGACGGACUAUUGCGAAAGCAUUUGCCAAGUAUGUUUUCAUUGAUCAAGAGCGAAAGUCAGAGGAUCGAAGACGAUCAGAUACCGUCCUAGUUCUGACCAUAAACGAUGCCGACUAGCGAUCCGGCGACGUUGCUUUCUAAGACUCUCCGGGCAGCUCUCGGGAAACCAAAGUCUAUGGGUUCCGGGGGAAGUAUGGUUGCAAAGCUGAAACUUAAAGGAAUUGACGGAAGGGCACCACCAGGAGUGGAGCCUGCGGCUUAAUUUGACUCAACACGGGAAAACUCACCCGGCCCGGACACCGUAAGGAUUGACAGAUUGAAAGCUCUUUCUUGAUUCGGUGGGUGGUGGUGCAUGGCCGUUCUUAGUUGGUGGAGCGAUUUGUCUGGUUAAUUCCGAUAACGAACGAGACUCUAGCCGGCUAACUAGUCCGUCGAUGCCAUACGUCGUCGGCGCAUAGGACUUCUUAGAGGGACCAGUGGCGUUUAGCCACGCGAGAUUGAGCAAUAACAGGUCUGUGAUGCCCUUAGAUGUUCGGGGCCGCACGCGCGCUACACUGAAGGAAUCAACGUGUCCACUGUCCGGCCUCGAAAGGGGUGGGUAAUCCGUUGAACCUCCUUCGUGAUAGGGAUUGGGGCUUGCAAUUCUUCCCCAUGAACGAGGAAUUCCCAGUAAGCGCGAGUCAUAAGCUCGCGUUGAUUACGUCCCUGCCCUUUGUACACACCGCCCGUCGCUACUACCGAUUGAAUGGUUUAGUGAGGUCCUCGGACUGGUGGCGUUUGCGCUCUUCGCGUUCGUGAACGUCUAGCCGGGAAGACGAUCGAACUUGAUCA
rnacentral:rRNA from 1 species